ACUCUCAGUCAGAAGUGACCUGUAGUAGCCAUGAACGAUGGCUCGGCAUCAUCGGCAUGGCUGUCUUGUGUCAUAGAUAGACUGUGAUUCAUUGGAGAGGUCGGUUACCAGUGUACAAUGAAGACUGUGGUUGUGAUGGUGAUGAUAGCGAUGAUCAAAUGAAUCAUCAGAAAAUGUUUGUUUUUCUUCCUGACGCUCCUAAGUGAGCAUUCACACUUACAAGUCAGCCAAAGCCUUAUGCAAUGACCAAUGCGAACCAAAACGCAUUACAGGAUUUUGUAUUGAGCCUCAAUAAAGUGAAAGGGGAAGGGGAAAGACGAUUUUUCUUGGAAAAAUAUAAUAUCUCCCCAGUGGUUUAGCCAGCCAGAGUCCUCUAAUCAUUACUGGCUGUGGAAUCUCAGUCCAAAGAAAACACCUUCUCUAGGGCAGUGUCUACUAUUAUGACAGACCUCCUAUAAUAGUGCUAUAACCCAGCAGCUAGAACAAACAACCUCUGUUUAAGUUUGUUUGGCAUUUAAGUUUGUUUGUCAUAGACCACAUGACAGUGAUGAAAGAAUGUCAAUGCUCAGGUAAGUGUACAGCAGGGGUAUAAGUUGAAACAACACAGACAAACUGUGUAACACAGUAUCUGUCAUAUACUGUAUCUACUUCCUUUCUGAUUCUAUUUGCUCACAUAUCACUUCCUUAGAAUGCAUAUAAACCUCUCUUCUUCCUCUGCACUUCUUUGAGUGCUGUCGUCAAGACUUUUACCCUGAACCUUGACUUCCCAGGUUGAUAGGUAACAUCAGACAGUGACCAUGUGGCCAACACUACCGUCAAGGUCCACCUACCCAAAGAGCUCCUGAUAGCCAAAGAGAAUGAUACCAUCUUCUGCAUGAUUACCUCACCUGAAAAAUAUGGGCCAUCGGGACUUCUUGAUGGCCAAGUAGGAGAUCUGGCUGUGAGCAUGAAGACAGUGUUAGGUCUGCAGGACAAGAUCAACUACUUCAUGCCUCUACAGCGCCCCACAUUGGAAAGUCAGGCUGACGAACAACCAUCUUGCCAAUGCUUUAAUUUAUCAACCAACGAGUUCUACCAGGAUGACUGCACCACAGAGUGGAAGAGAGACGAGGGCCGUGUGGUGUGCUCAUGUGACCACCUCAUAUUUUGCUGUGCUGAUGGUAGACAACUUUACAACUACCACAGUCCUUCCUUCGUUUCCUUAUCGCAGCAUAAGCACUUCUUAAAUGGAAGAGAAUAAAAACAAAAGUCAGUGAAGUAUACCCAUCUACUAAGAUACACUGUAGCAUUAGUUGUAUUUUCCUGCGUUUAGGUGUCUCCAUCUCUGAAAGUGAUCAGCAGAUCCUAAGCUACAUCACUCUGAUUGGCUGCAGUCUGUCUCUGUUCUUCCAGGUGGUCACAAUCUUUCUGUGCGCCACUCAAAGAGGUAUAUGCACAGACAUCUCCCUGAAGGUGCAUAUCAACCUGUCUGUGGCCCUGAUCCUCCUCAACCUACACUUCCUGCCCAGCCAGUAGGUAGCAGCAUUAUCCUCCUCUGGGCCAUGUAUCUAUGUUGCUGUCCUUCUUGCAUUACUCUCUACUGGCCACCGUCACAUGGACAGCAAUCGAAGGCUUCCACCUUUACCUGUUGCUGGUCCGUGUCUUCAACAUCAAUGUCAGGAGAUACCUGCUCAAACUGAGCCUGGUAGAAUGGUGUGAGAUUGCACUUUACAACCUGAAACUGGCUGUAUGACUGUAAACAGUAAGCAAUAAUAACGGUGGCGAACGAGAUGGCUGUCGUUUUACGAUCCCGUAACCAAUUGUGCUAUAAUGAAUGUUUUUUCACAUUAUUUGUAAGUUAUUUUGUACAUAAUGUUUCUGCCACCAUGUCUUAUGACCGAAAAUAACUUCUAGAUAUCAGGAAAGCGAUUACUCACCCCGUACUGGAGGAAUAGUUUUUCUUCAGCGAGUUAGGCGGGCAGGAUUUACUACAGACGCCCGACAAGGCCCUUAUCCUCGUAAUUCACAGGAGAAAGAGACGGAGGUAUCGUGGGUGAAGAUCCGGGUGCCUUGUUAGGAUCUGUCGCCGAAAGGGUAAUCUACCUUUUCCUUUCGGUCCUAGUAGCCAAUGUACAAUCAAUCCAUAAUAAAAUAGACGAACUACGAUCACGUACAGUGGGGCAAAAAAGUAUUUAGUCAUUUAGUCAGCCACCAA